rnacentral:rRNA from 1 species
GGGUUGUGAGGUUAAGCGACUAAGCGUACACGGUGGAUGCCCUGGCAGUCAGAGGCGAUGAAGGACGUGCUAAUCUGCGAUAAGCGUCGGUAAGGUGAUAUGAACCGUUAUAACCGGCGAUUUCCGAAUGGGGAAACCCAGUGUGAUUCGUCACACUAUCAUUAACUGAAUCCAUAGGUUAAUGAGGCGAACCGGGGGAACUGAAACAUCUAAGUACCCCGAGGAAAAGAAAUCAACCGAGAUUCCCCCAGUAGCGGCGAGCGAACGGGGAGCAGCCCAGAGCCUGAAUCAGUGUGUGUGUUAGUGGAAGCGUCUGGAAAGGCGUGCGAUACAGGGUGACAGCCCCGUACACAAAAAUGCACAUACUGUGAGCUCGAUGAGUAGGGCGGGACACGUGGUAUCCUGUCUGAAUAUGGGGGGACCAUCCUCCAAGGCUAAAUACUCCUGACUGACCGAUAGUGAACCAGUACCGUGAGGGAAAGGCGAAAAGAACCCCGGCGAGGGGAGUGAAAAAGAACCUGAAACCGUGUACGUACAAGCAGUGGGAGCACGCUUAGGCGUGUGACUGCGUACCUUUUGUAUAAUGGGUCAGCGACUUAUAUUCUGUAGCAAGGUUAACCGAAUAGGGGAGCCGAAGGGAAACCGAGUCUUAACUGGGCGUUAAGUUGCAGGGUAUAGACCCGAAACCCGGUGAUCUAGCCAUGGGCAGGUUGAAGGUUGGGUAACACUAACUGGAGGACCGAACCGACUAAUGUUGAAAAAUUAGCGGAUGACUUGUGGCUGGGGGUGAAAGGCCAAUCAAACCGGGAGAUAGCUGGUUCUCCCCGAAAGCUAUUUAGGUAGCGCCUCGUGAAUUCAUCUCCGGGGGUAGAGCACUGUUUCGGCAAGGGGGUCAUCCCGACUUACCAACCCGAUGCAAACUGCGAAUACCGGAGAAUGUUAUCACGGGAGACACACGGCGGGUGCUAACGUCCGUCGUGAAGAGGGAAACAACCCAGACCGCCAGCUAAGGUCCCAAAGUCAUGGUUAAGUGGGAAACGAUGUGGGAAGGCCCAGACAGCCAGGAUGUUGGCUUAGAAGCAGCCAUCAUUUAAAGAAAGCGUAAUAGCUCACUGGUCGAGUCGGCCUGCGCGGAAGAUGUAACGGGGCUAAACCAUGCACCGAAGCUGCGGCAGCGACGCUUAUGCGUUGUUGGGUAGGGGAGCGUUCUGUAAGCCUGUGAAGGUGUACUGUGAGGUAUGCUGGAGGUAUCAGAAGUGCGAAUGCUGACAUAAGUAACGAUAAAGCGGGUGAAAAGCCCGCUCGCCGGAAGACCAAGGGUUCCUGUCCAACGUUAAUCGGGGCAGGGUGAGUCGACCCCUAAGGCGAGGCCGAAAGGCGUAGUCGAUGGGAAACAGGUUAAUAUUCCUGUACUUGGUGUUACUGCGAAGGGGGGACGGAGAAGGCUAUGUUGGCCGGGCGACGGUUGUCCCGGUUUAAGCGUGUAGGCUGGUUUUCCAGGCAAAUCCGGAAAAUCAAGGCCGAGGCGUGAUGACGAGGCACUACGGUGCUGAAGCAACAAAUGCCCUGCUUCCAGGAAAAGCCUCUAAGCAUCAGGUAACAUCAAAUCGUACCCCAAACCGACACAGGUGGUCAGGUAGAGAAUACCAAGGCGCUUGAGAGAACUCGGGUGAAGGAACUAGGCAAAAUGGUGCCGUAACUUCGGGAGAAGGCACGCUGAUACGUAGGUGAAGCGACUUGCUCGUGGAGCUGAAAUCAGUCGAAGAUACCAGCUGGCUGCAACUGUUUAUUAAAAACACAGCACUGUGCAAACACGAAAGUGGACGUAUACGGUGUGACGCCUGCCCGGUGCCGGAAGGUUAAUUGAUGGGGUUAGCGCAAGCGAAGCUCUUGAUCGAAGCCCCGGUAAACGGCGGCCGUAACUAUAACGGUCCUAAGGUAGCGAAAUUCCUUGUCGGGUAAGUUCCGACCUGCACGAAUGGCGUAAUGAUGGCCAGGCUGUCUCCACCCGAGACUCAGUGAAAUUGAACUCGCUGUGAAGAUGCAGUGUACCCGCGGCAAGACGGAAAGACCCCGUGAACCUUUACUAUAGCUUGACACUGAACAUUGAGCCUUGAUGUGUAGGAUAGGUGGGAGGCUUUGAAGUGUGGACGCCAGUCUGCAUGGAGCCGACCUUGAAAUACCACCCUUUAAUGUUUGAUGUUCUAACGUGGACCCGUAAUCCGGGUUGCGGACAGUGUCUGGUGGGUAGUUUGACUGGGGCGGUCUCCUCCUAAAGAGUAACGGAGGAGCACGAAGGUUGGCUAAUCCUGGUCGGACAUCAGGAGGUUAGUGCAAUGGCAUAAGCCAGCUUGACUGCGAGCGUGACGGCGCGAGCAGGUGCGAAAGCAGGUCAUAGUGAUCCGGUGGUUCUGAAUGGAAGGGCCAUCGCUCAACGGAUAAAAGGUACUCCGGGGAUAACAGGCUGAUACCGCCCAAGAGUUCAUAUCGACGGCGGUGUUUGGCACCUCGAUGUCGGCUCAUCACAUCCUGGGGCUGAAGUAGGUCCCAAGGGUAUGGCUGUUCGCCAUUUAAAGUGGUACGCGAGCUGGGUUUAGAACGUCGUGAGACAGUUCGGUCCCUAUCUGCCGUGGGCGCUGGAGAACUGAGGGGGGCUGCUCCUAGUACGAGAGGACCGGAGUGGACGCAUCACUGGUGUUCGGGUUGUCAUGCCAAUGGCACUGCCCGGUAGCUAAAUGCGGAAGAGAUAAGUGCUGAAAGCAUCUAAGCACGAAACUUGCCCCGAGAUGAGUUCUCCCUGACCCUUUAAGGGUCCUGAAGGAACGUUGAAGACGACGACGUUGAUAGGCCGGGUGUGUAAGCGCAGCGAUGCGUUGAGCUAACCGGUACUAAUGAACCGUGAGGCUUAACCUUACAACGCCGAAG